AAUGCCAAGGCCUGAGGAACUUUUUCUCACUCCAUGUGAUCCUCUGGGCUCUGCAGGGCCCCUCCAUUCAGCAUUUAAAAGAGACAUGGAGAUGGGUGUCCAGGAAGAACUGGACAAAACUUAAAAAGUUGAUGAAAACUAGCCAGCGGGAGAGCAGGAAGCUGCUCAAGGAGGUGAGUGGAGGCUGGAGAUCUGGAAGGAGGGGAGGACGUGACCUCUGUGUGGGCCACCUUAGAGAUGGAUCCCCAGGGAGCCCAGGAGAGACAGCAGCAGCAGGGUGUCGUCCCCUUCCUGGGCACGUUCCUCUAUCACCUGAAGCUGCUGGACAUUGGGAUGGAGGAUGAUCUGGAAGUGAGUGAGC